rnacentral:rRNA from 1 species
UUGCCUACGGGGCGCAGCAGUGAGGAAUAUUGGUCAAUGGGCGAGAGCCUGAACCGGCCAAGUCGCGUGAGGGAAGACGGUCCUAUGGAUUGUAAACCUCUUUUGCCGGGGAGCAAAAAGCGGUACGUGUACCGCAUCGAGAGUACCCGGCGAAAAAGCAUCGGCUAACUCCGUGCCAGCAGCGGCGGUAAUACGGAGGAUGCGUGGGUUAUCCGGAUUAAUUGGGUUUAAAGGGAG